AGAGUUUGAUCAUGGCUCAGAUUGAACGCUGGCGGCAGGCUUCACACAUGCAAGUCGAACGGUAACAGGAAGGAAGCUUGCUUUCUUUGCUGACGAGUGGCGGACGGGUGAGUAAUGCUUGGGAAUCUGGCUUAUGGAGGGGGAUAACUACGGGAAACUGUAGCUAAUACCGCGUAAUAUCUUCGGAUUAAAGGGUGGGACUUUCGGGCCACCUGCCAUAAGAUGAGCCCAAGUGGGAUUAGGUAGUUGGUGGGGUAAAGGCCUACCAAGCCGACGAUCUCUAGCUGGUCUGAGAGGAUGACCAGCCACACUGGAACUGAGACACGGUCCAGACUCCUACGGGAGGCAGCAGUGGGGAAUAUUGCACAAUGGGGGGAACCCUGAUGCAGCCAUGCCGCGUGAAUGAAGAAGGCCUUCGGGUUGUAAAGUUCUUUCGGUGACGAGGAAGGUGUUUGUUUUAAUAGAACAAGCGAUUGACGUUAGUCACAGAAGAAGCACCGGCUAACUCCGUGCCAGCAGCCGCGGUAAUACGGAGGGUGCGAGCGUUAAUCGGAAUGACUGGGCGUAAAGGGCACGCAGGCGGUGACUUAAGUGAGAUGUGAAAGCCCCGAGCUUAACUUGGGAAUUGCAUUUCAUACUGGGUCGCUAGAGUAUUUUAGGGAGGGGUAGAAUUCCACGUGUAGCGGUGAAAUGCGUAGGGAUGUGGAGGAAUACCGAAGGCGAAGGCAGCCCCUUGGGAAUAUACUGACGCUCAUGUGCGAAAGCGUGGGGAGCAAACAGGAUUAGAUACCCUGGUAGUCCACGCUGUAAACGC
rnacentral:rRNA from 1 species